rnacentral:rRNA from 1 species
AUGGCAACUGUUGGAGCAAGCACAGCCACCAACCAAGUUGAGCAAGCUGUCUGUGUGCACAGUAACAGUGGGCGAGACACUCAACAAACCUGUGUCCUGUCCUGGGAGUCGUUGAAUGCUGAUAUGCUGGAGCUGAUCGCUGAACGGGUACUCUCUAGCGACCUGCUGCACUACGUCUGGUUCCGCGCGGUGUGCAAAAAGUGGCGUGCCGCCACUCCUUGCCCGCUCGGCCAUGGCGUGGUAGACCCGCGCUUUCACCCACGGCAAUGGAUGAUGUUUCCAGAGGGCAACGGGCUUCACCCCGGCCACGCUGCAUUGGGCGGCUACAUCCGCUUCCUCAACAUCGACACCGGCAUCUUCAUCCGUGUGCACCUGCCGUGCUUCGAGGAUCACUCCGUGCUCGACUGCCCUGACUGCCUCCUUCUCCUGCAGCGCAAGAAGGACGCUGCUAUCUGCCUCCUCCACCCCUUCACCGGUGAUGUUGCCGAGUUCCCUCCCCUUGCCUCCCUCUGCUUGUACAUGAGCAAGUUCGGUAGCUUUCUGCAUGGCCCUUACGAUCUUCGACUACGGAUGGUCCACGCGGCUGUCUCUGUCCAUGUGGGUGGCAGUGUUACCAUCACGCUCGCGCUCAGCCACGCCGAGCGCAUGGCAUACGCAUCCACCGGUGACAAGCACUGGACUCACACAAGCUGGAUGAUGUGUGGCAUGAGGACAGCAUUGCCAUUCCGUGGCAGCCUCUACAUGGUGAGGAGCUCGAAAAACAAACCUUCACACAUCAUGCGUGUUGAUCCACCAGACAGCUCCAGUUCCUCCUCGUGGCCGUCUACACCGCCACAAAUGAUCGCGACAUGUUCAGCUCUGCCUAAGCCUUACCUGGUGGAGUGUGAUUCUGAACUUCUUCUGGUUGGCUACACCCACAGAAAGUCCCGGCUUUUGGUUUUCCGGCUCUCUGACCUCCUGCUUGGAGUUGUUGCCAUGCCAUUGACAAGCAUCGGUGACCACACCCUCUUCAUUGGCACUUGGAGCAUGUCCGUCAACUCCAGGAACUCCGUCACCUUUCUCAGCCCACCUAACAAUGGCCAACUGCAGCAAUAUGAUCUGGGCAGGGGUACCUGGUCGCCGCUAUGUGAUGGAAACUUCCGCAGUGCCUGCGGCCCCAUGCCAAGGCCAUACAGUCUUGUCCACCACAUUGUCAGUUGUUGCCAGCGUCUUUACUGGAUCAGUGGACACAUCUGGACCCGCCACCAUCAUUCUGAUCCUUGUUGCCGACGUCUUCUGCAGUGA